UCUGGGGUGGCUGUAGUAUAUUGGUAGUAUAUUAGUAGUGUGUGAAUAGGGUCUGGGGUGGCUGUAGUAUAUUAGUAGUAUAUUAGCAGUGUGUGAAUAGGGUCUGGGGUGGCUGUAGUAUAUUAGUAGUAUAUUAGUAGUGUGUGAAUAGGGGCUUGGGUGGCUGUAAUAUAUUAGUAGUGUGUGAAUAGGGUCUGGGGUGGCUGUAGUAUAUUAGUAGUAUAUUAGCAGUGUGUGAAUAGGGUCUGGGGUGGCUGUAGUAUAUUAGUAGUAUAUUAGCAGUGUGUGAAUAGGGUCUGGGGUGGCUGUAGUAUAUUAGUAGUAUAUUAGUAGUGUGUGAAUAGGGUCUGGGGUGGCUGUAGUAUAUUAGUAGUGUGUGAAUAGGGUCUGGGGUGGCUGUAGUAUAUUAGUAGUAUAUUAGUAGUGUGUGAAUAGGGUCUGGGGUGGAUGUAGUAUAUUAGUAGUAUAUUAGUAGUGUGUGAAUAGGGUCUGGGGUGGCUGUAGUGUAUUAGUAGUGUGUGAAUAGGGUCUGGGGUGGCUGUAGUGUAUUAGUAGUGUGUGAAUAGGGUCUGGGGUGGCUGUAGUAUAUUAGUAGUAUAUUAGUAGUGUGUGAAUAGGGUCUGGGGUGGCUGUAGUAUAUUAGUAGUAUAUUAGUAGUGUGUGAAUAGGGUCUGGGGUGGCUGUAGUAUAUUAGUAGUAUAUUAGUAGUGUGUGAAUAGGGUCUGGGG
ensembl:lncRNA